rnacentral:ncRNA from 2 species
UUCAAAAGUAGAGGUGCAGCAUUUAAGAGUACCAUGACUGAGUUAAGCACAGUGAGGCCAUGGGAAAGGAAUUGUUGCCGAAAUGCCUGGCUGACGCUUUAAGGCCAUGCAUUGGGACUGCAUAGAACAUGUGCAGGACUGUCACGCGAGAGUGGAGAGCUAUUGAGAAU